ensembl:lncRNA
GGGUUCCUUGCACAGAGCAGCCUUCCAGUGUCAGGGCUUGGGAGACCAACAAGCCUUGUACCCUGAACCCCAUCUGGUUUGGACUUGAAUCCCAGCCUGGCACAGGUCCUGACAGCUCUUGAGCGAGCUCCCAAGUUUACACAUCAGAGGCCUCUACCUACCCCACCUCCUGACCCAAAGAGGCUGCUUGAGCACCAGCCCCACCUGCAUUCCAGUGGACACGCAGGGUGGGGUGAAGCCUCUUUCUGCACACUCCCGAGGCCACACCAGCUCUUCUACAUGCAGCACCUCUGGCUGACCCGGCUGCCGCCCUCAUACAAGACUUGGGGACUUGGGAGCAGGCCACAGCUGCCAGGCCUCUGUCAGGGCACCAGGGCCUGGCUUGAAAUCGGGUGUGCCUCUGGUCCCCAGGAAAGGGCGGGGUCCUGACACUAUGGGGAAGAUCCCUGCACACCCCCUAAAUGUCCUUCGUGACAGAAGCUCAGCUGGUGCACAGGCCCUGGUGGGGCAGCCACACCACAGGAAGGAGGAGCCUCUCCUGCAGGGUCCCAAGGCCCUGGCCAGCUGGUGCACUGGAGGGAAGCACUCUCAGGUGCUACAUGUGCCCAUUCUGUGUAGACUCGGAUGGGCAUGGGGGCACGGAGUUGUGCAGUCCACAACCUGCCCGCUCAGCCAUGGCAGCCCGGACUCCAGAUGAGGGUGACUGCAGUGUCCUCGCCUCAGCCCUGCAGCCACUUCCAGUGUAACCCCGGUUGGUUGUGGCUUAUGGAGACAGGAAAUGCAGCCUCUCCUGAGGGGUCCUGGCACCUGGGUGGCCCACAGUAAAGGCUGAGGGUGAUGCUUCUGUAAACAGGCCGGCCAGCUUGUGGUCCUGGUCUCCGGGUGUCCUAGCAACAGCUGCACCCUCCCUGGACACUCACAGGCUCUGCCCGCAGGCCGUCACCCCGGGGGCCACAGCCCAGCCCUGGCUGGAGUUGAGGCCAAGCCCGGAAGAGGAGCAGCAGGGCUGAGGUGGGGCCGGACAGCAGCUCUGCACCCAGCGAUCCAGUCAGGCCCAGGAGACCAGAGGUGUGGCUGACUUGGACCCGGCCC